GACGAACGCUGGCGGCGUGCUUAACACAUGCAAGUCGAACGGAAAGGCCUUUUCGGAGGUACUCGAGUGGCGAACGGGUGAGUAACACGUGGGUGAUCUGCCCUGCACUCUGGGAUAAGCCUGGGAAACUGGGUCUAAUACCGGAUAGGACCGCACUUUAGUGUGUGUGGUGGAAAGUUUUUUCGGUGUAGGAUGAGCCCGCGGCCUAUCAGCUUGUUGGUGGGGUAAUGGCCUACCAAGGCGGCGACGGGUAGCCGGACUGAGAGGUUGGUCGGCCACAUUGGGACUGAGAUACGGCCCAGACUCCUACGGAAGGCAGCAGUGGGGAAUAUUGCACAAUGGGCGCAAGCCUGAUGCAGCGACGCCGCGUGGGGGAUGACGGCCUUCGGGUUGUAAACUCCUUUCGCCAGGGACGAAGCGUUUUGUGACGGUACCUGGAGAAGAAGCACCGGCUAACUACGUG
rnacentral:rRNA from 1 species